GGGGCUGUAGCUCAGCUGGGAGAGCGCCUCCUUUGCACGGAGGAGGUCAGGAGUUCGAGUCUCCUCAGCUCCACCA
rnacentral:tRNA from 1 species